ACGUAGGGGACGAGCGUUGUCCGGAUUUACUGGGCGUAAAGGGCGCGUAGGCGGUCAUUUAAGUCAGCUGUGAAAUGGUUUGGCUUAACCGGAUCAUGCGGUUGAAACUGGAUGACUGGAGUGCUGGAGAGGCAAGUGGAAUUCCCAGUGGAGGGGUGAAAUGCGUAGAUAUUGGGAGGAGGACCGGAGGCGAAGGGGACUUGCUGGCCAGCAAGUGAUGCUGAGGCGCGAAAGGCAGGGGAGGAAGGGG
rnacentral:rRNA from 1 species